ensembl:snRNA U6 U6 spliceosomal RNA
GUGCUCGCUUUGGCAGCACAUAUACUAAAAUUGGAACGAUACAGAGAAGAUUAGAAUGGUCCCUACUCAAGGAUGACAUGCAAAAAAAUAUAUGUUGAAAGAACAU